rnacentral:rRNA from 1 species
GAUGAACGCUGGCGGCGUGCCUAAUACAUGCAAGUCGAGCGAACGGACGAGAAGCUUGCUUCUCUGAUGUUAGCGGCGGACGGGUGAGUAACACGUGGAUAACCUACCUAUAAGACUGGGAUAACUUCGGGAAACCGGAGCUAAUACCGGAUAAUAUUUUGAACCGCAUGGUUCAAAAGUGAAAGACGGUCUUGCUGUCACUUAUAGAUGGAUCCGCGCUGCAUUAGCUAGUUGGUAAGGUAACGGCUUACCAAGGCAACGAUGCAUAGCCGACCUGAGAGGGCGAUCGGCCACACUGGAACUGAGACACGGUCCAGACUCCUACGGGAGGCAGCAGUAGGGAAUCUUCCGCAAUGGGCGAAAGCCUGACGGAGCAACGCCGCGUGAGUGAUGAAGGUCUUCGGAUCGUAAAACUCUGUUAUUAGGGAAGAACAUAUGUGCAAGUAACUGUGCACAUCUUGACGGUACCUAAUCAGAAAGCCACGGCUAACUACGUG